rnacentral:tRNA from 1 species
UCCCGUGUAGACCGUAAACGGAAGCGGGCCGGACUGUUAAUCCGGUGGCGGAAGCCUCUGCUGGUUCGAGUCCAGCCGCGGGAGC